rnacentral:misc_RNA from 1 species
GAUGAAGAACGCAGCGAAAUGCGAUAACUAAUGUGAAUUGCAGAAUUCCGUGAAUCAUCGAGUCUUUGAACGCACAUUGCGCCCCCUGGUAUUCCGGGGGGCAUGCCUGUCCGAGCGUCAUUGCUGCCCAUCAAGCACGGCUUGUGUGUUGGGUCCUCGUCCCCCCCGGGGGAUGUGCCCGAAAGGCAGCGGCGGCACCGCGUCCGGUCCUCGAGCGUAUGGGGCUUUGUCACCCGCUCUGCAGGCCCGGCCGGCGCUGGCCGACGCGAAAGCAACCAUUUUUUCUCCAGGUUGACCUCGGAUCAGGUAGGGAUACCCGCUGAACUUAAGCAUAUCAAUAAGCGGAGGA